AUUGAACGCUGGCGGCAGGCCUAACACAUGCAAGUCGAGCGGCAGCGGGCCUUCGGGUGCCGGCGAGCGGCGGACGGGUGAGGAACGCGUGGGAAUCUGCCUAUAGGUGGGGGAUAGCCCGGAGAAAUCCGGAUUAAUACCGCAUAAUACCUGAGGGUUAAAACGGAGGAUCGCAAGACUUCGUGCCUAUAGAUGAGCCCACGCCAGAUUAGCUAGUUGGUAGGGUAAAGGCCUACCAAGGCGACGAUCUGUAGCUGGCCUGAGAGGGUGGCCAGCCACACUGGAACUGAGACACGGUCCAGACUCCUACGGGAGGCAGCAGUGGGGAAUAUUGCACAAUGGGGGAAACCCUGAUGCAGACAUGCCGCGUGUGUGAAGAAGGCCUUCGGGUUGUAAAGCACUUUCAGCGAGGAGGAAAGGUUGAUGCCUAAUACGUAUCAACUGUGACGUUACUCGCAGAAGAAGCACCGGCUAACUCCGUGCCAGCCGCCGCCGUAA
rnacentral:rRNA from 1 species